AGAGUUUGAUCAUGGCUCAGAACGAACGCUGGCGGCGUGCUUAACACAUGCAAGUCGAACGCGAACGGUUUCUUCGGAGACCUAGUAGAGUGGCGCACGGGUGAGUAACGCGUAAAUAAUCUACCCUGAUGUCUGGGAUAACCCUUCGAAAGGGGGACUAAUACCGGCUAUAUGCUACCCUGUUGGGGGUAUCAGGAAAGGUGGCCUCUUCUUGAAAGCUAUCGCAUUGGGAUGAGUUUGCGUACCAUUAGCUAGUUGGUGGGGUAAUGGCCCACCAAGGCCUCGAUGGUUAGCGGGUCUGAGAGGAUGAUCCGUCACACUGGCACUGGAACACGGGCCAGACUCCUACGGGAGGCAGCAGUGAGGAAUAUUGCGCAAUGGGGGAAACCCUGACGCAGCGACGCCGCGUGAGUGAGGAAGGCCUUCGGGUCGUAAAGCUCUGUCAGAUGGGAAGAAAUGUAUAUGAGUUAAUACCUCCUAUAUUUGACGGUACCAUCAAAGGAAGCACCGGCUAACUCCGUGCCAGCAGCCGCGGUAAUACGGAGGGUGCAAGCGUUGUUCGGAAUCACUGGGCGUAAAGGGCGCGCAGGCGGUCUGUCAAGUCAGAUGUGAAAGCCCACGGCUUAACCGUGGAAGUGCAUUUGAAACUGGCAGUCUUGAGUAUCAGAGGGGAAGGUGGAAUUCCCGGUGUAGAGGUGAAAUUCGUAGAUAUCGGGAGGAAUACCGGUGGCGAAGGCGACUUUCUGGCUGAAUACUGACGCUGAGGCGCGAAAGCGUGGGGAGCAAACAGGAUUAGAUACCCUGGUAGUCCACGCCGUAAACGAUGUGAACUAGAUGUAGGAGGUAUUGAUCCCUUCUGUGUCGCAGCUAACGCAUUAAGUUCACCGCCUGGGGAGUACGGUCGCAAGAUUAAACUCAAAGGAAUUGACGGGGGCCCGCACAGCGGUGGAGUAUGUGGUUUAUUCGAUGCACGCGAAAACCUU
rnacentral:rRNA from 1 species